rnacentral:tRNA from 1 species
AGAAAAAACUUGGAGUGGAGUAAGGUUGCUAACUUUGUUUUGGGUAAUUCGAUUUUAUCCUUUUUCUU